UACAGAGGGUGCAAGCGUUAAUCGGAAUUACUGGGCGUAAAGCGCGCGUAGGUGGUUUGUUAAGUUGGAUGUGAAAUCCCCGGGCUCAACCUGGGAACUGCAUCCAAAACUGGCAAGCUAGAGUAUGGUAGAGGGUGGUGGAAUUUCCUGUGUAGCGGUGAAAUGCGUAGAUAUAGGAAGGAACACCAGUGGCGAAGGCGGCCUUCUGGACCAGCACUGACACUCAAGCACGAAAGCGUGGGGAGCAAACAGG
rnacentral:rRNA from 1 species